GGAUGUGAUGGCCAUCUGGCUGUGACAUCUGUCACCCCAUUGAUCGCCCGGGUUGAUUCGGCUGAUCUGGCUGGCUAGGUGGGUGUCCCCUUCCUCCCUCACUGCUCCAUGUGCGUCCCUCCCGAAGCCCCGAGUCUGUCUCAGAGGACGACCUUCCCCAAUAGAGGAGGACCGUGCUUCGGCCAAGGGUAUACGAGUAGCUGCGCUCCCCUGCCGUGUCCUCCAAACAAGCUCUCGAGAGUCCACGAUUCCAAAAACCCACUACUCUGAGGUUCCGUGGCCAGCAGAAGGGGUGCGUGGCCACU
rnacentral:snRNA from 1 species